AUUGAACGCUGGCGGCAGGCCUAACACAUGCAAGUCGAACGAGUGGCGGACCGGUGAGUAAUGUCUGGGAAACUUCCUGAUUGAGGGGGAUUACUACUGGAAACGGUAGCUAAUACCGCCUACCAUCUGAUGUGCCCAGAGGGGAUUGGCUUGUUGGUGGGGUAACGGCUCACCAAGGCGACGAUCCCUAGCCGGUCUGAGAGGAUGACCAGCCACACUGGAACUGAGACACGGUCCAGACUCCUACGGGAGGCAGCAGUGGGGAAUAUUGCACAAUGGGCGCAAGCCUGAUGCAGCCAUGCCGCGUGUAUGAAGAAGGCCUUCGGGUUGUAAAGUACUUUCAGCGGGGAGGCGUUACCCGAAGAAGAAGCACCGGCUAACUCCGUGCCAGCAGCCGCGGUAAUAC
rnacentral:rRNA from 1 species